rnacentral:rRNA from 1 species
UACGGAGGAUCCGAGCGUUAUCCGGAUUUAUUGGGUUUAAAGGGUGCGUAGGCGGUUUGAUAAGUUAGAGGUGAAAUGUCGGAGCUCAACCCCGAAACUGCCUCUAAUACUGUUGGACUAGAGAAUAGUUGCGGUAGGCGGAAUGUAUGGUGUAGCGGUGAAAUGCUUAGAGAUCAUACAGAACACCGAUUGCGAAGGCAGCUUACCAAACUAUAUCUGACGUCGAGGCACGAAAGCGUGGGUAGCAAACAGG